rnacentral:rRNA from 1 species
AGUAACGCGUGAGGAACCUGCCUCAAAGAGGGGGACAACAGUUGGAAACGACUGCUAAUACCGCAUAAGCCCACGGCUCGGCAUCGAGCAGAGGGAAAAGGAGCAAUCCGCUUUGAGAUGGCCUCGCGUCCGAUUAGCUAGCUGGUGAGGUAACGGCCCACCAAGGCGACGAUCGGUAGCCGGACUGAGAGGUUGAACGGCCACAUUGGGACUGAGACACGGCCCAG